rnacentral:tRNA from 1 species
AAGUAUUUAGUCUAAAAGACCAUUGAUUUCGACUCAAUUAAUUCUGGUUUAAACCCAGAAAUAUUUU